GAUCAUUGGAUAACACCAGUUCAUCCUUGUGAUUAGAAAUCUUAAGAAAUGAAAUCCACAGGAGAGACUGCCAACUUCCAUUUGUCUGGAUCUUAAUUUAGCUUUACAGCAUGAUGUAAUUACAUAGUAACGAAGAGACCAAGAAUCUGAAGUAAAAGAAUCUUGAAAAGCUCUGCUGCUGGCAUCGCAUGGUAUGACAUCAUUGUGCUUUCAGUCUCUGCCCACAGGAGUUUGGCACUCAGUACCUGAGGCGGUUUUAGCCUUUUCUGCCCCUGCCUUCCUUGACAUCCCCUGACUCGCCUUGUUUUUUUGAACUUCAAAGGAACAUGGAAAACAAUCACACACAGCAGCAGCCUCUUUCCAGUGUCUCCGGUGGCUCCACCUCUCUGCUCUGUGACAGGAAACCAAAGGGCAUCGGAGAAGUCUGCAGUGAGCCAUGACUGGAGGACAGGGGGCUCUCUUCUCAUGACCAGGACUCCUUUGGGGUCUCAACUGGCUGUACCUGAAGCAUUGCUAGAGCCUCAGAAUUUCUACUUUCUCAGCGCUUUACUUCCUUUCUCCCGUUAAGUCUUCUCAUUCCCGAUUUUAUGCCAAGGCUUACGCUCCGUGGCUGCAUCAACUAAAGGAGUAAUGGAAAGUUAAAGAGUUACUAAUGACACAACGUUUCCUGGGAUAACUAUAAACAACGUUUAUAGUUAAGGGGACCGAUUUACCAAUCUUCCUCCUCUCAGUCAUUAGGACCCUCCACCCCACCCCCCAUCCAUCUUUCUGCAGUUUGGUUAAAAAUUACGUGACUAUCGAAAACAACAUAAUAAUAAUAAUAAUUUAAAAAGCCAAAAGAUAUGCUUAAAGGAGAGGGUAGUAGCUAGCUUCAGGAAAGCAUGAAUGAAGCAAAAGAAUGGCGCUGAGCAUCUGCAAAAGAGCAAGGUGUAACCUGUUCAGUGACCUCUCUCACAGUUACUGCAUCUCCCUCCUUCUCUCCCUCCCUCCGGUUAAAAAUGGAGACACUCCACGGCACUUAAUACCAUCUCUGUAGAUCUUUCUCCAGUGGGUGUAAGUAUUGAGAGCAACAGCACCUCUUGUCACCAGCUGGGGAUAGGGAGUGGCUGCCUCCGGGGAAUCUGAGGCUAAAAAAUCCACCACUGAGAAAAGGCAAUAACAGAAGUGUGUUGCUGUCUAACCUGCCAUAUAAAUGAAACAAUCAAACAAGACAACAAAGGAAAACCCAGCAAGCACCAGAGGCAAGAGCAGUUGCUAUAAUAUAUCUUGGCUUCGGUGACUAUUUUUAGUUUCUUCCCACCACCUCC